CUGGCACCGAAUUUGGUCUGGCUAAUAAUCAACUUUGCUCUGUUGUGUCGGUUACUAUCGACCAUACCUCAUCCUUCCCUUUUCUGUACUUUCUUCAUCCUUCAACCUCAUCCCAAGGUCAGGGGUUGGUGAUUCUUCAAUCUCUGAAAAAGCCUCUCUUUCAUCACCGGUCUUCCAUCGUCCACCAUGGGUAGAAAAAUCAGUUCUUUUUUGUUUCUUCCUCUCUUCCUUGGGGCUUUCCUUCUCACUGGGGUGAUCCAAGAACUGGUCCCAACGAUAACAGUUAGGUGGAGGUUGACGAUCGGGAGGACUUCCAUCAGCUGAAGGAUAUUAGGGUCUCGCCGCAAAGGGAGCUUUUGACCGAACGGGCUCUCUAUGAUACCGGCCUUAGUUCGGCCGCCAACUUAGGUAUAGUAUAGUUAAUUAUUUCUGACUUGAUUCUUCCUUAGUUUCUGGAUUG
rnacentral:lncRNA from 1 species